AACAGGGAUUGCCUUAGUAACGGCGAGUGAAGCGGCAAAAGCUCAAAUUUGAAAUCUGGCACUUUCAGUGUCCGAGUUGUAAUUUGAAGAAGGUAACUCUGGAGUUGGCCCUUGUCUAUGUUCCUUGGAACAGGACGUCACAGAGGGUGAGAAUCCCGUGCGAUGGGGUGUCCAAUUCUAUGUAGAGUGCUUUCGAAGAGUCGAGUUGUUUGGGAAUGCAGCUCUAAGUGGGUGGUAAAUUCCAUCUAAAGCUAAAUAUUGGCGAGAGACCGAUAGCGAACAAGUACAGUGAUGGAAAGAUGAAAAGAACUUUGAAAAGAGAGUGAAAAAGUACGUGAAAUUGUUGAAAGGGAAGGGCUUGAGAUCAGACUCGGUAUUUUGCGAUCCUAUCCUUCGUGGAGAGGUUUCACUUGCAGCUUACCGGGCCAGCAUCGGUUUGGAUGGUAGGAUAAUGACAUUGGAAUGUGGCUUUUCGGAGUGUUAUAGCCUUUGUUGAUACUGCCUAUCUAGACCGAGGACUGCGUCUUUGACUAGGAUGCUGGCAUAAUGAUCUUAAGCCGCCCGUCUUGAAACA
rnacentral:rRNA from 2 species